GGCAACACUGCCACCAGGCUGCAUACGUCAUCAAAACAACACUGACUGGACGCUGCUAUCCAAAUCCCUGCUGCGCCACUCGCAUAGUUUAACAUUAGAUAACAUAACAUCAUAUUUGUCCUAAAUCGUUAACGAUUAACAAAGGCUGCUUACACAUAUUCUGGAUCUUGAAAUAGACAAGCUCACGCUAUUUAACGUGCACGUGCGGUGUGCAAUACCUGAGUUGUCAUACACUCAACGCCUCGCAGCGCUUCUCGCCCGGAAAACCCCCUUGAAGCACCCGGCUAGCCUUUCAAGUCAUGUUUGGUUCCUGGGUCGAACAUUUGAAAGGAUGGCUGAAUGCUAAGGAACCCAUGCUGCACAUUUUUAUGAAGAGAUGAUAGCUGAUCUGAAGGCAUCUGUGGAGAAAAUCGGUUUCUUGGAAAGUCUCUAAGCGGAGAAGUGAUUGAGAAAAUAGUUAACCAGUGUGUCUUCAAGAACAUGAAGCAAAACAAGAUGUCCAACUAUUCUCUGGCUCCAAAUCUCAUAGACCAAAAGAAAUCUGAAUUUCUGAGGAAAGGUGAAAUAUAGAUUGUAACUGUCAUGUUAUGUGACCGGGGAAGAAUGAUGGAGAUUAGGAUAAAUGAUAAACUUUAAUAUAAUAAUACAACAACUAACUGGCAGCCGGGGGAAAAACUCACAUGUAACAAAGAUGUAUACAACACGAGAUCCGACAAAGGGAGAACGCUUAAAUACACAUGGAUGAUAACAAAGAACAUGUGGAGCAAUAGUUAAACAAAUGAGGAACAGAUGAUGAUGAUGAAACAAUAAUUAAAUGAUUAAUUCCAGACUAUGACAGUAACACAACCCAUAUUUUUGGCUUAAAAGCCUAUUUGAAGUAUUGUUUUAAGUGAAUAUGAUUUUGCUGUAACCAUUAAAAUUCAUUAAAGUUUUCUACGUUUUGUCUUUAUCGGGAGUUGCUGGUGACUGAAGAAUCAUUUCACUGAGGCCCUUGAGCAGCGAUUUAAUGCUGUAUACAAAGACAAAACGAAAGAUGUGAAAUUCAAAUUAAUGUGGGAUUAAUUUAGCACUUUCAUUCAUAACAUUACAGCACACAUAACUAUUUUGA